CGUUACUUUUCUCUCCCUCUGGCCAGUCCCUUGGCAAGUGUGACUGACCAGGGGGAAAUGGUGUGAAGAAGGAAAAAAAAAAGGAAAAAAAAAAAAAAGGAGGAACUGGGAGGGGGAGGGGAGGAAGAAAAAGAAACGAGGUCGGAAUCUGUAUUUUUCUCCUUUUUUUGCAAAGAAACCAGAGGAGGAGGCUUGAACGUGUGGCUGCUGCGGUUAGGGAGAAAGUUGAUGCCUAUUUCAAUGAAAAGUUUGGGCUUUUAAUCUGCCCAGGUGUCUUCUCCCUAGAAGGAUGAAGAUCACUGACAGCUAUCGGUGCUUUAUAAUAAGCAACUCCAAUGCGCGGAAUGUUGGAGGUAAAAUGUACCCUUGUUGCUCCACAUUAACUUUGGAACAGGAUCUCAACAGAAAAAUGCAUAUCUGGAUGCUGCAGACUAUAGCGUUUGCUGUAACAUCUCUCGUCUUUUCGUGUGCAGAAACCAUCGAUUAUUAUGGGGAAAUUUGUGACAAUGCAUGUCCUUGUGAGGAGAAGGACGGAAUCUUAACAGUGAGCUGUGAAAACAGGGGGAUCAUCAGCCUCGCAGAAAUCAGCCCUCCACGAUUUCCAGUCUACCACCUCUUGUUGUCUGGCAACCUUCUGAACCGUCUCUACCCCAAUGAGUUUGUCAAUUACACUGGGGCUUCAAUUUUACAUCUAGGGAGCAAUGUCAUCCAGGACAUUGAGACAGGGGCAUUUCAUGGGCUUCGAGGUUUAAGGCGAUUGCAUCUGAAUAAUAAUAAACUGGAACUACUAAGGGAUGACACUUUCCUUGGAUUGGAGAGUCUGGAGUAUCUACAAGUCGAUUACAAUUACAUCAGCGCCAUUGAACCUAAUGCUUUUGGCAAACUGCACUUGCUGCAGGUGCUGAUCCUCAACGACAACCUUUUGUCGAGUUUACCCAACAACCUUUUCCGUUUUGUGCCCUUAACGCAUCUGGACCUUAGGGGCAACCGGUUGAAACUUCUGCCCUACAUAGGGUUGUUGCAGCAUAUGGAUAAAGUUGUAGAAUUACAGCUAGAAGAAAACCCCUGGAAUUGUUCUUGUGAGUUGAUCUCACUCAAAGAUUGGUUGGACAGCAUUUCCUAUUCUGCUUUGGUAGGGGAUGUGGUUUGUGAGACUCCUUUCCGGUUACAUGGGCGGGACUUGGAUGAAGUAUCGAAGCAGGAGCUUUGCCCAAGGAAACUCAUCUCGGACUAUGAAAUGAGGCCCCAGACACCUUUGAGCACUACUGGGUAUUUACACACCACCCCAGCCUCGGUCAAUUCGGUGGCCACCUCUUCCUCUGCUGUUUACAAGCCUCCCCUGAAGCCCCCUAAAGGGACCCGCCAACCCAAUAAACCCAGGGUACGCCCCACCUCGCGCCAGCCCUCUAAAGACUUGGCCUACAGCAACUAUGGCCCCAGCAUCGCCUACCAGACUAAAUCGCCGGUGCCUUUGGAGUGUCCUACUGCGUGCUCUUGCAAUCUGCAGAUUUCUGACUUGGGCCUCAAUGUUAACUGCCAGGAGAGGAAGAUAGAAAGCAUCUCUGAGCUUCAGCCCAAACCCUACAAUCCCAAGAAGAUGUACUUGACAGAGAACUACAUCACAGUCGUUCGUCGGACUGAUUUCCUGGAGGCGACAGGGCUAGACCUGCUGCAUCUUGGAAACAAUCGCAUCUCGGUAAUCCAGGACCGUGCUUUUGGGGAUCUAACCAAUCUGCGACGACUCUAUCUUAAUGGCAACCAGAUUGAACGCCUGAACCCAGAGCUGUUUUAUGGUCUACAGAGCUUGCAGUAUCUUUUCCUCCAGUAUAAUAUUAUCCGAGAGAUCCAGGCUGGGACCUUUGAUACAGUCCCUAACCUACAGCUUUUGUUUUUAAACAACAACCUCUUGCAGGCCCUACCCGGGGGCAUUUUUUCCGGCCUCACGCUGCUUAGGCUAAAUCUAAGGAGCAAUUACUUUUCUUCCUUGCCUGUGAGUGGAGUGUUGGAUCAGCUGAAAUCUCUUAUUCAGAUCGACUUGAAUGACAACCCUUGGGAUUGCACUUGUGACGUGGUGGGCAUGAAGUUGUGGGUAGAACAACUCAAAGUAGGGGUACUUGUAGAUGAGGUCAUCUGCAAGGCCCCCAAGAAGUUCGAGGAGACCGAUAUGAGGUCUAUUAAGUCGGAGCUUUUGUGCCCAGACUAUUCUGAUGUGGUGGUUUCUACACCUACUCCCUCCUCCAUACAGAUUCCACCACGAACCACAUCCUUGCCCUCCACAGUCAGAUUCAACAGCACGGGUGCCACUGCUGGGGGUGGCUCUAGCAACAGCGCUUCUUCAGUCCCCUUGUCUGUGCUGAUCCUCAGCUUGCUGCUUGUCUUCAUCAUGUCAGUUUUCGUGGCUGCUGGGCUCUUUGUUCUGGUGAUGAAAAGGAGAAAGAAGAACCAGAGCGAUCACACCAGCACCAACAACUCCGACGUGAGUUCCUUCAACAUGCAGUACAGUGUGUACAGUAGCAGCGGGAGCAGUAGCCACCACCAUUCACAUACUCACCACAGGGGCCCAACCCUCCCUAAAGUCAAAACUCCCGCGGGCCACGUGUACGAAUAUAUCCCACAUCCACUGGGCCACAUGUGCAAAAACCCCAUCUACCGUUCCCGGGAGGGCAAUUCCGUGGAAGAUUACAAAGAUCUGCACGAGCUCAAGGUCACCUACAGUAGUAAUCACCACCUGCAGCCUCAACAGCAGCAGCAGCAGCCACAACAGCCACAGCCUCAGCAGCAGCAGCAGCAGCCGCAGCAGCAGCUGCAGCUACAGCAGGGAGAUGAGGAGAGGCGGGAAAGCCACCACCUGCGGAGCCCCGCCUAUAGUGUCAGUACCAUUGAGCCGAGGGAGGAGCUGCUGUCACCCAUGCAAGACGCUGAUCGCUUUUACAGAGGCAUUUUAGAACCCGAUAAACACUGCUCGGCUACCACGGCUGGCAGUAGCCUCCCAGAAUAUCCUAAAUUCCCUUGCAGCCCUGCUGCCUAUACUUUCUCCCCCAACUAUGACCUUAGGCGCCCCCAUCAGUACUUACACCCAGGGGCUGGGGACAGCAGGCUCCGGGAAACGGUGCUCUAUAGUCCCCCGAGUACUGUCUAUGUAGAACCCAACAGGAAUGAAUAUCUGGAAUUAAAAGCAAAACUAAACGUUGAGCCGGACUACCUCGAAGUGUUGGAAAAACAGACCACAUUUAGCCAGUUCUAAAGGCAACAAACUCCCCAUAGAGCAUUUGUAUUUAAAACAAACACACGAACAAGCAAACACAUGAUGAACCGGUUUGAUUGAUUGUGUUGUUUCAACGUUUAGGGUGAAGUGCCUUGGCACAGGAUUUUCAGCUACGGCGAAUGAUACUGAAAGGCUGGAAAAAAAAACUUGCUGAAGUGGACAGCAUGAUUUCCAAAUCUUUAUGCAUGUUUUUGAGCCAUCAUGGAUAUUCAAAAUGAAAUGAACUAAAAAAAGGAAGGAAGGAAAGAAAAGAAAAAAAAAAGGAUGAAAAGAAGGAAGGAAUGAAGUAAGGAAGGAAGGGAGAAAGGAAGGAAGAUGAACCUGGAAUGACAGUCUUCACUACUCAUUUUAACCUGUUGCCUGAAGAAAAUAAUGCGGUUUAAUUAUAGCCUAAAUAAUACUAUUUAUGGAAGGGCAAGUUAAGACCAUUGCUACCAACUGCUUAUUGCUUGAUUUGAAGAAUUAAAAUAAAAAUUAUAUCUUCCAAACUUCUAGCAUUUUCUAAAUUUCAUAGUGAAAUCUACCAAGUCAGUUUUUACUCAAGAAUUAUUUUCAACACUGAGACUGCAGUUGAUAAAAAACCCUUUGAUUUCCACUGAAGAAUUUGUAUGUGCAAUUAUUAUUAUGCUUAUUAUCGACUUGUCUCUGGACUUCUAUUCUCUAAAGGGAAUAUGGGUUCCCUUUCUCAUCUUAUUUCUUGAAACAGAAAAUUUGGAGUUACUGAAAUAUUUCAGCCUAGUACUGGUUUGGCCUUUCAGGUUAUUUAUGCUGUUUUAGGGAAUGAUAACUUUUUUUUUCUUAUCUUCUAAGUUCACAUGUUUGACUAGAUUCUAGAUUUCAUUGGAUUUGCUCUAGUAUGCUAUUUUUCUUCAUUUUUUCUUUGAUAUUUUUGAGUAUUCUUUUAGCAUAUCAUUAUUACUACUGGAUGCCUUUGGAGAUCUGUAAGUACCAAGUGAUGAAAACACUAAGGAACAUUCUUUUUUCUUGAGCCAUGUUUUGUUUCUUUAGCUAAUGUUUUGAAUUAAAGAAUAAAUGAAUGAAAAUACUAACUUUUUCUAUAUGCCAAAUGAAAGGAAUAUAAAUAUAAAAGCGAGACCAUCCUUGCCUUAAAGGAACUUAUUAACUUAAUAGGGGGAGAUAAUACAUGGAGGAAAAUUAGGGUCAAUAAGGGGUAUUAUGGUUUGUGAAACUAAAGGUACAAUGAAUGGAGUCACAAGAAAAUGAUUGGCACAUUUUUUCCAGUGUAAAUGGGAGUCUUGGUUUGCUUAGAAUUCUACAGCUAGAAACUUGGGAGGGUUGGUGGAGUAGUUGGAGAGUAUUAAGAAAGACAUCUUGGAUAGCAAGAAAAUAGUAGGGGCUGAAUUUAAGGCAUAUCUGAAGCCUAUUAAUUAACAUUCAUGAGUCAGCACAAUACCUGCCCACAAUAGAAAUCCUGGAGAAGAAAUCUCCAAGACCAUGAGCUCUGGAUGUCUUGUUCAUAGAAGCUCUAGUGAUAGGUAAGGUGAAGUUGGCUGGAAAGAACAUAGUCAUGUAAGAGAAAAUUAAGAAAAGUUUUCCAAAACAAGAUAGUGAUUUUCUACUUCAACACUUUAAGGAUUUGUAAUUUUUAAUGUAAAAAAUUUCCUCAACUGAAAAAAGACCACAAUCCCUCUUCCCCCCCUUAUUAAAGAACAUUAGGGAAUUACUUUGGGGGGAAAGUCAUAGUGUUGGGGGCCAAAUUUUUGAUGAUGACAUUCUGAAGACUUAAUUAUUCCUCGAAUAGAUAUUGCCAUUCCUAGAAGUUUUUCCAGCUUUUUAGGCUUGCUACAGUUUGUUUGUCUCUGCUAUAACCUUGGAGGAUAUAGGAUCACUUCUAUGGCAGGUUGACAGGUAUAAAAACAGAACUUUUGAUCUCUGUUAUACUCCAAUAAAUUAGUGUUUAAUUCUUACUUAAAGUCAUGUGGAAAUAUAAUUUAUUUUAAUUUUACUUCAGAGCAUAUCAUAUGGGUAAAAAAGUUCCAUUACUUAUUCAAUUCAGUUCAAUUUCAUUUCCCAAAUAUAUAUUAAGUAACUACUUUUAUGUGGAAACUGCUGUGUAGUUUGUGAAUAAGUAACUUUUCUCACUUUUUCUAAAUAUACUAUCUUUUACUUAAAUGUAAAUACUGAUAUUUAGCUUUUUAAAAUUUUUGUUUCUUUUAAGAAAAAUUGAUUUAUUAGCAUAUUGUUAAAAGUUUUUCAGAUUUAAAAUUAUGCAUAAAAAAGAUAUUCUGGAAUGACAAAAUUCAUCUAAGUCCCUUAUGUAGAAGCAUUUUACCCCUUCCUUAUUUCUGUCACUAGAAUCUUUUCUUGAUUUCUUUCCCCUUCAAAUGCUAUUUCAUGAAUCAUUUCACUAUUCAAGAUACAUACUAAGUAGGUCCAAAAAUGAAUGUAAGGUGGCAUAAGUAGCAUGUGAGGGGAAGAACUAUAUAAGGGGAGUAUGUGAAAAGCUGAGAUAUAGCCUUUCAGUCCCACGGGCUAAGAAAAGAAUGAGAGAAAGGAUACAUGAGAAAAAGGAUAGGAUCAGAUAAUCUCUGAAGAGGAAGGGAUUUUGAGACCAUAUAUUGCGGCCCCUACCUUGUUGGAACACACGACCACAACUAUGGAAAAGGAAGUAAGUAAUGAAAUCUCUGUGGCUAAAGAGAAAUAAGAAACAAAAUGAUUAGAAAGCCAUUUUGGGUCUAAGAAGUAUUUUGGGAAAGGUGGGAAGUUUAAUCUAAAUUGAUGAGAAAUUCUAGAUCCUGUAGCAAAUAAAACUUCUACAUAUUGUCUUUAUUUUUCUCAUUUCUUCUCAUUCAACUAUUCUAUUCUUUAUUUAACUCUCCUCAACAACCCCCCAGGGUUAGCAAUAGUUAUAUAUGAAAGGCCAUACUUGACUCCUUUGCCCAAUACACAAAAAACUGUCUCUAGAGAUCAGAGUUGAGUCGAUCCCUUUUUAAAAUGUUUCCAACCUUAAAAUUUAGAAUUUAACACUUUUUUCACAUCAAAAUACUUUUGUAUAGGAUAAUUAAGUCCUAUAGUAAUUUUAGUAAAAGUUAUACUUUAUGAACAUUAGCUUUUGUAGUCUGGAGA